rnacentral:rRNA from 1 species
UACGAAGGGGGCUAGCGUUGUUCGGAAUUACUGGGCGUAAAGGGCGCGUAGGCGGCGACAUACGUCAGGUGUGAAAGUCCUGGGCUUAACCUGGGGAUUGCAUUUGAUACGGUGUUGCUAGAGGGCGAGAGAGGGUAAUGGAAUUGUGUGUGUAGAGGUGAAAUUCGUAGAUAUACACAAGAACACCAGAGGCGAAGGCGGUUACCUGGCUCGUACCUGACGCUAAGGCGCGAAAGCGUGGGGAGCAAACAGG